GCCUUGAUACAAGCUACCUAUGUCAUUAAAGAGUUACUGUCACAUGCCAAUUUUUGCAGCCUUUGUGACAAGCCCCACAACAGACCAGAAAAAACAAAUCCUAACAUGUACCAGCCGCCAAAAUGAAGCUUCCGGUGCCCUCUCUCUGCAUCUAACUCCGUCAAACACAAAGAGACAUAUCACUUAUUACUACACUGUGAGGGUACAUGUCACUCACCAGCACGCUACAACUGUCAAACCUUGCAGUGUGGUAAUAAAUGACAAGUAUCCUUUCCACCCUUUACAUUCGUAGUGUGGUAAUAAGUGAUAUGUAGUGUUUCUUUGUGCUGGUGAGCAAUAU